rnacentral:rRNA from 1 species
UACGUAGGGUGCAAGCGUUAAUCGGAAUUACUGGGCGUAAAGCGUGCGCAGGCGGUUCGGAAAGAAGGAUGUGAAAUCCCAGGGCUUAACCUUGGAACUGCAUUCUUAACUACCGGGCUAGAGUGUGUCAGAGGGAGGUGGAAUUCCGCGUGUAGCAGUGAAAUGCGUAGAUAUGCGGAGGAACACCGAUGGCGAAGGCAGCCUCCUGGGACAACACUGACGCUCAUGCACGAAAGCGUGGGGAGCAAACAGGAUUAGAAACCCCGGUAGUCC